AUGAUCACAACACUACUGGAAAUAACAGAGGAGGUUCAGACAUCAACACCAUUGUCACGGAGCUGUCAGCCAUCCUGUUCGGUGUCUAGCUGGUUAUCCAAGUCGCGCAGCCGCCGACUUGAUAAUGAUGGUGUUGAGGUUCCUGUAGGGAUUGGUAGCUUGGUGGCCUUGCAUACCAUUGGUGUUGUCAAUGCCAAUAUUCGUAAUGGAAAUGCAAUCCUAAAGGAGAUUAAGAACCUUACACAACUGCGCAAGCUCGGCGUGUCUGGCAUAAACAGGCGAAACAUACAAGAAUUGUGUAAUUUCAUCUCGGGCCACGGCCAUCUGGAGUCCUUGUCAGUGCGACUCGAUAAGGAUAAGCAGGGAUUAUUUGCUUGUUUCGAUGACAUGAUUUCCCAGCCACCCAAGACUCUAAAGAGCCUUAAGCUGUACGGACAUGUAAACAAACUGCCGAUUUGGAUCAAACAGCUUCAUAAUCUCAAGAAGUUAGAUCUUGAGCUCACUAUACUAUUGCAAGAAGACAUGCAGUUCCUUGGUGAAUUGCCAUAUAUAUACUUCUUACGUCGCCUUUGUGUGAAGCCGAUUCAAGAUGGUGAACUCCAUUUUAGCACCCUGGGAGAUGCUAACUUUCGGAGAUUACAGGUCCUAGAGAUCGAUUGCACCUCCAAGUUGCAGAUAACUUUUGCAAGUAAUAUUUGUAUGAGAGUUGAGGUGCUGAAGAUUCACUGCUCUGGUAGGGCGUCUUUGCGGAUUUCUGGACUAGAGUAUCUAAGUGGUCUCGAUGAAGUGUGGUUGAAGGGUUCCUAUGGCGAUGAACUCAAGCAAGAGUUGCAACAGCAACUUUCCGAGCAUAAACGAAAACCUGUCCUGAAGCUAGCGCGGCGACGCUCGUCCUUAUAG
rnacentral:rRNA from 1 species